GGGGGUGUUUUGGUUUUGACAGCGCUGAUGCUGGACGGUAAGCAUGUCGGGCCUCGGAACCUGUCCCGUAAAACGCAGAUUCCAAAAAAUCAGUUGCCAACAACAACUACGCACUCGCUGCUUAAUUUGCCAAGCAAAUUAACUUAAUCCGCGACGCCAAGGCUGCGCCGCCGACGAGUAUCCCUCGGCCCUUCCGCCUCUUAAGGGCCCCUCAAGGGGUAUCAUCCAUUUGGGGCUGCUCCGGCGGACGCCUUUAAAGCCGGCUAAGACUUAAAGGCUAAGGGAAGCUUCGCCCGCCUUCCGGCAGGGCUUCUUCGAAAACCAAAGGACGGAUAAGCAUGUAGAAAGCCGCCUGGUGCGACGUUUGGACAGCGGUUCGAGUCCGCUCACCUCCACUU
rnacentral:tmRNA from 1 species